CUACCUUUUGGAUGAACUGGUCCCUGAUAUGCAUUCUCCAUCUGCUUCACUUUCUCAGCUAUCUUGGUUCUAAUCUUAGCUGAUCAUUAAGGGUGUGACAUUA